GCCGGGGUGGCGGAAUAGGUAGACGCACAGGACUUAAAAUCCUGUGGGAGGUAUCUCCCGUAUCGGUUCGAGUCCGAUCCUCGGUA
rnacentral:tRNA from 1 species